UGUUGAUAUGAGGAAAUCGGG
ensembl:piRNA 21ur-3161 ncRNA